rnacentral:rRNA from 1 species
UAUUGCACAAUGGGGGGAAACCCUGAUGCAACGACGCCGCGUGUGGGAAGACGGUCCUCUGGAUUGUAAACCACUGUCCCCAGGGACGAAGAUGACGGUACCUGGGGAGGAAGCUCCGGCUAACUACGUGCAAGCAGCCGCGGUAAUACGUAGGGAGCGAGCGUUGUCCGGAAGUACUGGGUGUAAAGGGAGCGUAGGCGGGGAUGCAAGUUGGGUGUCAAAACUACCGGCUCAACUGGUAGUCGCACUCAAAACUGCAGCUCUUGAGUGAAGUAGAGGCAGGCGGAAUUCCUAGUGUAGCGGUGAAAUGCGUAGAUAUUAGGAGGAACACCAGUGGCGAAGGCGGCCUGCUGGGCUUUUACUGACGCUGAGGCUCGAAAGUGUGGGGAGCAAACAGG